CACGCUGUAAACUAUGGAUACUAGGUGUGGGAGGUAUCGACCCCUUCUGUGCCGCAGCAAACGCAAUAAGUAUCCCGCCUGGGGAGUACGAUCGCAAGGUUGAAACUCAAAGGAAUUGACGGGGGCCCGCACAAGCGGUGGAGCAUGUGGUUUAAUUCGAUGCAACGCGAAGAACCUUACCAGGUCUUGACAUCUGUGGGACCCUGGUGAAAGCCGGGGGUGCCUUCGGGAGCCACAAGACAGGUGG
rnacentral:rRNA from 1 species